rnacentral:rRNA from 1 species
UUGGCUCAGGACCGACGCUGGCGGCGUGCCUAAUACAUGCAAGUCGUACGCUUCUUUUUCCACCGGAGCUUGCUCCACCGGAAAAAGAAGAGUGGCGAACGGGUGAGUAACACGUGGGUAACCUGCCCAUCAGAAGGGGAUAACACUUGGAAACAGGUGCUAAUACCGUAUAACAAUCGAAACCGCAUGGUUUUGAUUUGAAAGGCGCUUUCGGGUGUCGCUGAUGGAUGGACCCGCGGUGCAUUAGCUAGUUGGUGAGGUAACGGCUCACCAAGGCCACGAUGCAUAGCCGACCUGAGAGGGUGAUCGGCCACAUUGGACUGAGACACGCC